UGUAAAUCGGUAAUUAGGUUUUUUUUUUUUCUCCUUCAGAAUACAUCGCAGUUUAUAUUUGCUUGGUGUAUUACACACUGAACAUCCACGUAUUUAGAAAACAGCAAUUUUAAAAAGUCCAAGGUUAUUGCCGGGACUCUGUGCCUGCACCAUGAAUCCACUGCUCCUGGAGACCAUUUUUUUCCCUUUUGUUGCCCUUGUUUUUUGUCAUUGUUGUGGUUAUUACUAUUGUUGUUGCUGUCGUUGGAUAGGACAGAGAGAAAUGGAGAGAGGAGGGGAAGACAGAUAGGGGGAGAGAAAGACAGACACCUGCAGACCUGCUUCACCGCCUGGGAAGCGACUGCCCUACAGGUGGGGAGCCAGGGGCUUGAACUGGGAUCCUUACUCUGGUCCUUGCGCUUUGCACCACGUGCACUUAACCCGCUGGGCUACCGCCCGACUCCCUAAAUUAUUUUUCGUCUCUCUCUCUCUCCUUUCUGAGAGACAUACAGAUGAAGCCUGUAUUUCAGACUUUCUUUGCAUAAAUUGUUACGUGUAUCUAAUAUGCUCCACUGCUUUCUAUCAUUUUUUUU